rnacentral:rRNA from 1 species
UACGGAGGGGGCGAGCGUUAUUCGGAAUUAUUGGGCGUAAAGGGCGCGUAGGCGGCCUGGUCAGUCGAAGGUGAAAUCCCCGAGCUCAACUUGGGAACUGCCUUCGAUACUGCCGGGCUUGAGUCCGGGAGGGGAGAGUGGAAUUCCCAGUGUAGCGGUGAAAUGCGUAGAUAUUGUCAAGAACACCAAUUGCGAAGGCAGCUUACUAAAUUAUAACUGACGCUGAGGCACGAAAGUGUGGGUAUCAAACAGG